ACGAACGCUGGCGGCGUGCUUAACACAUGCAAGUCGAACGGAAAGGCCCUGCUUUUGUGGGGUGCUCGAGUGGCGAACGGGUGAGUAACACGUGAGUAACCUGCCCUUUACUUUGGGAUAACUUCAGGAAACUGGGGCUAAUACCGGAUAGGAGCUCCUUCUGCAUGGUGGGGGUUGGAAAGUUUCGGCGGUUGGGGAUGGACUCGCGGCUUAUCAGCUUGUUGGUGGGGUAGUGGCUUACCAAGGCUUUGACGGGUAGCCGGCCUGAGAGGGUGACCGGCCACAUUGGGACUGAGAUACGGCCCAGACUCCUACGGGAGGCAGCAGUGGGGAAUAUUGCACAAUGGGCGGAAGCCUGAUGCAGCAACGCCGCGUGCGGGAUGACGGCCUUCGGGUUGUAAACCGCUUUCGCCUGUGACGAAGCGUGAGUGACGGUAAUGGGUAAAGAAGCACCGGCUAACUACGUG
rnacentral:rRNA from 1 species